CAGUCGCCGCGGUAAUACGAGGGGAGCUAGCGUUGUUCGGAAUUACUGGGCGUAAAGCGCGCGUAGGCGGCUUUUUAAGUCAGAGGUGAAAGCCCGGGGCUCAACCCCGGAAUUGCCUUUGAAACUGGAAAGCUAGAAUCUUGGAGAGGUCAGUGGAAUUCCGAGUGUAGAGGUGAAAUUCGUAGAUAUUCGGAAGAACACCAGUGGCGAAGGCGACUGACUGGACAAGUAUUGACGCUGAGGUGCGAAAGCGUGGGGAGCAAACAGGAUUAGAUACCCCAGUAGUCCCUGUCUCUUAUAA
rnacentral:rRNA from 1 species